GAGUUGUGGUUAAAAAUCUUGCACGGCUAACAAAACCAUUUCGGAAGUCAAAAGAAGGUAUGGUGAGCAAGCUUGGCAUUGACCAAGACGCCUAAGAUACUUUUGGUGACAUCCUCUUAGCAACAGUGACCGUUGCAAGACUUAACCACUUAUC
rnacentral:sRNA from 1 species